CACGUAGGGUGCGAGCGUUGUCCGGAAUUAUUGGGCGUAAAGAGCUCGUAGGCGGUGUGUCGCGUCGGCCGUGAAAACCUGCAGCUUAACUGUGGGCUUGCGGUCGAUACGGGCAUCACUGGAGUUCGGCAGGGGAGACUGGAAUUCCUGGUGUAGCGGUGAAAUGCGCAGAUAUCAGGAGGAACACCGGUGGCGAAGGCGGGUCUCUGGGCCGAUACUGACGCUGAGGAGCGAAAGCGUGGGGAGCAAACAGG
rnacentral:rRNA from 1 species